UACAUCGGGGGUAACAGAAGAUUGUGUAGUACAUCGGGGGUAACAGAAGAUUGUGUAGUGCAUCGGGGGUAACAGAAGAUUGUGUAGUGCAUCGGGGGUAACGGAAGAUUGUGUUGUGCAUCGGAGGUAACAGAAGAUUGUGUAGUGCAUAAGAGGUAACAGAAGAUUGUGUAGUGCAUCGGGGGUAACAGAAAGAAGAUUGUGUAGUGCAUCGGAGGUAACAGAAGAUUGUGUAGUGCAUCGGGGGUAACAGAAAGAAGAUUGUGUAGUGCAUCGGGGGUAACAGAAAGAAGAUUGUGUAGUGCAUCGGGGG
rnacentral:sRNA from 1 species